GAUGAACGCUGGCGGCGUGCCUAAUACAUGCAAGUCGAGCGAACGGACGAGAAGCUUGCUUCUCUGAUGUUAGCGGCGAACGGGUGAGUAACACGUGGAUAACCUACCUAUAAGACUGGGAUAACUUCGGGAAACCGGAGCUAAUACCGGAUAAUAUUUUGAACCGCAUGGUUCAAAAGUGAAAGACGGUCUUGCUUUCACUUAUAGAUGGAUCCGCGCUGCAUUAGCUAGUUGGUAAGGUAACGGCUUACCAAGGCAACGAUGCAUAGCCGCCCUGAGAGGGUGAUCGGCCACACGGGAACUGAGAAACGGUCCAGACCCCUACGGGGGGCAGCGGUGGGGAAUUUUCCGCAAUGGGCGAAAGCCUGACGGAGCAACGCCGCGGGAGGGAUGAAGGUCUUCGGAUCGUAAAACUCUUUUAUUAGGGAAGAACAUAUGUGUAAGUAACUGUGCACAUCUUGACGGUACCUAAUCAGAAAGCCACGGCUAACUACGUG
rnacentral:rRNA from 1 species